rnacentral:rRNA from 1 species
UACGUAUGGUGCAAGCGUUAUCCGGAUUUACUGGGUGUAAAGGGAGCGCAGGCGGCACGGCAAGCCUGAUGUGAAAGCCCGCGGCCCAACCGCGGGACUGCAUUGGGAACUACCGGGCUGGAGUGCCGGAGAGGUAGGCGGAAUUCCUAGUGUAGCGGUGAAAUGCGUAGAUAUUAGGAGGAACACCAGUGGCGAAGGCGGCCUACUGGACGGUGACUGACGUUGAGGCUCGAGAGCGUGGGGAGCAAACAGG